rnacentral:rRNA from 1 species
CUGGAGGCGAGAAAAGCCUUAUGGAUUGGUAAGAUGUCCGUACCGCAAACCGACACAGGUAGAUGAGGAGAGAAUCCUAAGACCAGCGGGAGAAGGGUUGUUAAGGAACUCGGCAAGUUGACUCCGUAACUUCGGGAGAAGGAGUGCCACAGAGAUGUGGCCGCAGAGAAUAGGCCCAGGCAACUGUUUAGCAAAAACACAGGUCUCUGCUAAAUCGAAAGAUGACGUAUAGGGGCUGACGCCUGCCCGGUGCCGGAAGGUUAAGAUGAGCGGUAAGCGGCGACGCGAAGCUGUGACUUGAAGCCCCGGUAAACGGCGGCCGUAACUAUAACGGUCCUAAGGUAGCGAAAUUCCUUGUCAGGUAAGUUCUGACCCGCACGAAUGGCGUAAUGAUCUGGGCACUGUCUCAACAACCCGCCCGGCGAAAUUGUAGUACCGGUAAAGAUGCCGGUUACCCGCGACUAGACGGAAAGACCCCAUGGAGCUUCACUGUAGCUUGAUAUUGAUUUUUGAUCAUUUAUGUACAGGAUAGGUGGGAGGCAGAGAAGGAUUCGCGCCAGCGGAUACGGAGCCGGCGUUGGGAUACCACCCUUAAAUGAUUGGAAAUCUAACCAACGGCCGUGAAACCGGCCGGGGGACAUUGUCAGGUGGGCAGUUUGACUGGGGCGGUCGCCUCCAAAAGAGUAACGGAGGCGCUCAAAGGUUGGCUCAGCAUGGACGGAAAUCAUGCAAAGAGCGCAAACGCAAAAGCCAGCCUGACUGCGAGGGAGACAUCCCGAGCAGGAACGAAAGUUGGAGUUAGUGAUCCGGCGGUAAGUGAGUGGAAAUGCCGUCGCUCAACGGAUAAAAGCUACCCUGGGGAUAACAGGCUGAUCUCCCCCAAGAGUCCACAUCGACGGGGAGGUUUGGCACCUCGAUGUCGGCUCAUCGCAUCCUGGGGCUGUAUUCGGUCCCAAGGGUUUGGCUGUUCGCCAAUUAAAGCGGUACGCGAGCUGGGUUCAGAACGUCGCGAGACAGUUCGGUCCCUAUCUGUCGUGGGCGCAGGAAGUUUGAGAGGAGCUGUCCUUAGUACGAGAGGACCGGGAUGGACGCACCGCUGGUGCACCAGUUGUCACGCCAGUGGCACAGCUGGGUAGCCAAGUGCGGGAUGGAUAAACGCUGAAAGCAUCUAAGCGUGAAGCCAGCCUCAAGAUAAGACUUCCCACAGCGGAAGCUGGUAAGAUCCCUUGAAGACUAGGAGGUAGAUAGGUCAGGGGUGUAAGCAUGGCAACAUGUUAAGCUGACUGAUACUAAUAGAUCGAGGGCUUGACCUU